rnacentral:lncRNA from 1 species
ACCACGUGCUAGGGUCACUCAGGCCACUCCUGUGACCCCUGGCUGUGGCACCCCCAGCUCUCCUGGGCAAUGGCUCUGCCAUCCAGGCUGCACCUGCCCCAGUGGGCACCACAUCCUCUCCCUCCCUCCUGCUCCCCUGCCCCUGCAGCCCCUCAUGGAGCCUGGACUCCUCUCUGUAACCCUAGCUGUUGGGAACCAAGCAGAAUGGGGCCACCCUCCAUGCCCCUCUCCAUCCCGGUCUUCCUGCCCUCACACCAGCAGCCCAGGGUCACAUACCUGCCUCCCCUCACGGGUACCCCCAGACCCUGACAGCAGGCUUGCCACCGCCUCAUCCUGACAAGGGCUAGGGCAUGAAGAGGGCCAGGUGACCCAGGACUUGAGACAGAAGAGCUCAGAGCCUCGGCAGGAUGUGCAGAAACCCCAUAAGGAGCAGAGCCGCUUCUGACAGCAUCCUCAUCACCCUGGAGGGGAUCAAGGGCACAGGGCAGCCUGUUGGCCCAGCUUGGGCCCCUGCAGCUGAGUCUGCAGCACCAUCAGAGGAGCCUGAUGUGGAAACUGCCACGUGUCCAAGCGAGUGCUGCAUAUACUGUCUGCCCUCAGGACCCCACUCUGAGACCCACCCUAUGGAACAGCACCCCAGAACAGGAAGGAUGUUGGUACCAAACGUAACAGCUGAAAACCACCCAAGGGUCCCUCAGCAGGUGGCUUCCCACAAGAACCAAGGGACAGACGGCCCCCUCCACAUAGCCCACAUCAGGAUGUAUUUGUAAGUGAUGGGAAACGACAAACAUGGCUUCAGAGGCAGCACGGACUCCUUAGGACCAUCUGCGGAACUCCUCAUGGCCCUAGCGUGGCUGUAGGAGCUCUAGGUAGGAUGCAGGGAAGGUUAUAGGACAAACUAGGGACUUUUCCCAAUGGCCACGCUGGUCCUACCCAAAGUGCAGGAGACUAGAGUUGGAUCUUAACUGGCCCAGGACAGACGUAAGCUCCACAGCACUACUGGUGAGGGAGACACAGAGGGCGGGACCAAGGGGUC